rnacentral:rRNA from 1 species
AGAGUUUGAUCCUGGCUCAGGAUGAACGCUGGCGGCGUGCUUAACACAUGCAAGUCGAACGAAGCACUUUAUUUGAUUUCCUUCGGGACUGAUUAUUUUGUGACUGAGUGGCGGACGGGUGAGUAACGCGUGGGUAACCUGCCUUGUACAGGGGGAUAACAGUUGGAAACGGCUGCUAAUACCGCAUAAGCGCACGGCAUCGCAUGAUGCAGUGUGAAAAACUCCGGUGGUAUAAGAUGGACCCGCGUUGGAUUAGCUAGUUGGUGAGGUAACGGCCCGCCAAGGCGACGAUCCAUAGCCGACCUGAGAGGGUGACCGGCCACAUUGGGACUGAGACACGGCCCAAACUCCUACGGGAGGCAGCAGUGGGGAAUAUUGCACAAUGGGCGAAAGCCUGAUGCAGCGACGCCGCGUGAGCGAAGAAGUAUUUCGGUAUGUAAAGCUCUAUCAGCAGGGAAGAUAAUGACGGUACCUGACUAAGAAGCACCGGCUAAAUACGUGCCAGCAGCCGCGGUAAUACGUAUGGUGCAAGCGUUAUCCGGAUUUACUGGGUGUAAAGGGAGCGCAGGCGGUCUGGCAAGUCUGAUGUGAAAAUCCGGGGCUCAACUCCGGAACUGCAUUGGAAACUGUCAGACUAGAGUGUCGGAGAGGUAAGUGGAAUUCCUAGUGUAGCGGUGAAAUGCGUAGAUAUUAGGAGGAACACCAGUGGCGAAGGCGGCUUACUGGACGAUAACUGACGCUGAGGCUCGAAAGCGUGGGGAGCAAACAGGAUAAGAUACCCUGGUAGUCCACGCCGUAAACGAUG